CCUACGGGUGGCAGCAGUAGGGAAUAUUGCUCAAUGGGGGAAACCCUGAAGCAGCAACGCCGCGUGGGGGAGGAAGGUUUUGGGAUUGUUAACUCCUUUUUUUAGAGAAGAUAAUGACGGUAUCUAACGAAUAAUCACCGGCUGACUCCGUGCCAGCAGCCGCGGUAAUACGGAGGGUGCAAGCGUUACUCGGAAUCUCUGGGCGUAAAGAGCGUGUAGGCGGGAUAGCAAGUCAGAUGUGAAAGCCUAUGGCUUAACCAUAGAACUGCAUUUGAAACUGUUAUUCUCGAGUAUGGGAGAGGUAGGUGGAAUGCUUGGUGUAGGGGUAAAAUGCGUAGAGAUCGAGAAGAAUACUCAUUGCGAAGGCGACCUGCUAGAACCUCACUGACGCUGAUGCGCGAAAGCGUGGGGAGCGAACAGGAUUAGAUACCCGGGUAGUC
rnacentral:rRNA from 1 species